AUCCUAGUUCCAUUUGUGAAAUUAUGCAAUAUCUGUGUGAGAUCCUAGAACCCAGAGGAGUGGUUCCCUCUGGUGCUCAAGGGGGAAGAAGCAGGGGCAGCUGGAUUCAAUUAAUUUGCUAGCAGUUUGCUAGUAAGAAAGCCAAGCAGAAAGGAACCAACUCCUCUAGAGAGAAACAACUCUUUGUCCUGGCUUCAAAUUGACCCAUCCUAAGGCGCAGUCAUGUCUCCCCAAUACCUUAGGAGUCAAUCCUACAUACUACUCUCCCUCCAGGAAGGAAAGACUCCAUACCCAUAUGAAGGUCUAUUCUGCCCUCCUGCUGGUCCUAUUGCUAGCUUCUUUGGUCCAGGAUGUAGAUGACCUAAGCCUUGUUUCUGGAUAUCAGAGUAUUGUAAUCUGAGGAAUGUUCAAGGACACCUCUCCUGCUGCCCGCAUUUCUAGAGAAACACUUCACAAAUAGCUUUAAAACAAAUAUUCUCGAGGCAGGUACUGAAGCUGAAUCUGGCUUUAACCAGAUGGGGGAAACCCCUCUGCUAUUAGCUUUUCUCCUGCUGGUAUUCGGAGGAAUGUUCAAGGGCACAUCAGCUGCUGUCUGCAUUUCUAGGUAGUAGAUUUUGGUCCUAAAAUUUACUGGCCAGCUAGAAGAACAAUACUGCAAAACCAAUUUAGCUCUCACAGCUGAGCCUCACUUAACUGGAAUUAUUUAUCCUUUCAUCUUGCAGAAAUGGGUCUAUGGUGGCCUUCUAGGCCCAUACACCAAAAAUAACUGUAAAACUAGACACGUAUCAGCAGAACUAGUGUCAACUAAAGAUAAUAAAGAACUUCAUCAUCAAA